rnacentral:rRNA from 1 species
UACGAAGGGGGCGAGCGUUAUUCGGAAUCACUGGGCGUAAAGCGUGCGUAGGCUGUUCGGAAAGUCAGAGGUGAAAGCCCAAGGCUCAACCUUGGAAGGGCUUUUGAAACUACCGGACUAGGAUUUGGGAGAGGAUAGCGGAAUUGUCAGUGUAGCAGUGAAAUGCGUAGAUAUUGACAGGAACACCAGUGGCGAAAGCGGCUAUCUGGACCAACAUCGACGCUGAGGCACGAAAGCUAGGGGAGCAAACAGG